GGAGCACUGUGGGACCAUUCAGGCUGUCAUCCCAUGCUGCACAGUAAUAAUCAGCCUCAUCCUCAGACUGGAGCCCACUGAUGGCCAGGGAGGCUGAGGUGCCAGACUUGGAGCCAGAGAAUCGGUCAGGGACCCCUGAGGGCCGAUUGCUGUUACCAUAGAUGAGGAGUUUGGGGGCUGUUCCUGGAAGCUGCUGGUACCAGUGUACAUCAUAACCUGCCCCGAUGUUGGAGCUGCUCCCAGUGCAGGAGAUGGUGACCCUCUGCCCUGGGGCCCCAGACACUGAGGGCGGCUGCGUCAGCACAGACUGGGCCCAGGACCCUGGAAGUGGGAGAGACACAGGCAUCAUUAUUCGGCUUCUAGAGACAACAGGAGAAAGCAAGAAUCCAUAGGCUUCCCAGGGCCCCUCCCCUGGACCUGUAUCCAGUCACCUGUGCAGUGAGCGAGGAGAGUGAGGAGGAGAGGAGACCAGGCCAUGCUGGAGAUUGUCCUGAGUGCUGCCUCUUGUGCCCACAGCUGAAGCAGAGCCUCCCCAAAUCUCUCCCUGCCCCUCUUCAUACUCUGAGAGUGGGAGGGUCCAUCCAUGCAAAUCAGACCCCCAGCUUUCUAAUCCCACCCUGGGCCCUGGGUCAGGUCCCUAUGCCUGAGGAUGUCAGGGGGUGGCAGGGGUGGGGCUGUGUGGUCCCACGGGUGUAAAGGACGCAGCUGUGAGCCCUGAGCAGAGGACACUAGGCAGGACAGGUGGCUGGUUCUGCUCUGAUCAACCUCAGUCUUCUCAGGAAUGAUCCCCAAGUGCCCUCUAGUGUCCAGACCGAGACAAACCAUGACUUGCAGUCAUAGUCAUCGGGAUCCUGUGACCAG
rnacentral:lncRNA from 1 species